UACGGAGGUCUCAAGCGUUGUUCGGAUUCAUUGGGCGUAAAGGGUGUGUAGGUGGCGCCGUAAGUCGGGUGUGAAAUUUCGGAGCUUAACUCCGAAACUGCAUUCGAUACUGCCGUGCUUGAGGACUGGAGAGGAGACUGGAAUUUACGGUGUAGCGGUGAAAUGCGUAGAUAUCGUAAGGAAGACCAGUGGCGAAGGCGGGUCUCUGGACAGUUCCUGACGCUGAGGCACGAAGGUCAGGGGAGCAAACGGG
rnacentral:rRNA from 1 species